rnacentral:rRNA from 1 species
CCAUUCUGUAGCAAUACAGAGGAAGACCUAGUGGCGAACGGGUGAGGAACACGUGAGGAACCUGCCCCGAACUUUGGGAUAACAGUUGGAAACGACUGCUAAUACCGAAUGCCGUUACGAAGUGGCAUCACUUUGUAACGAAAGAAUUUCGGUUCGGGAGGGCCUCGCGGCCUAUCAGCUAGUUGGUGGGGUAACGGCCUACCAAGGCAUCGACGGGUAGCUGGUCUGAGAGGAUGAUCAGCCACACUGGGACUGAGACACGGCCCAGACUCCUACGGGAGGCAGCAGUGGGGAAUCUUGUGCAAUGGGCGAAAGCCUGACACAGCCACGCCGCGUGCGGGAAGAAGGCCUUCGGGUUGUAAACCGCUUUCAGCAGGAACGAAAAUGACGGUACCUGCAGAAGAAGAUGCGGCCAACUACGUGCCAGCAGCCGCGGUGAUACGUAGGCAUCAAGCGUUGUCCGGAUUUAUUGGGCGUAAAGAGCUCGUAGGCGGUUCAGCAAGUCGGGUGUGAAAACUCUGGGCUUAACCCAGAGCCUGCACUCGAAACUGCUGUGACUAGAGUUCGGUAGGGGAGCAGGGAAUUCCUAGUGUAGCGGUGAAAUGCGCAGAUAUUAGGAGGAACACCAAUGGCGAAGGCACUGCUCUGGGCCGAUACUGACGCUGAGGAGCGAGAGCGUGGGUAGCAAACAGGAUUAGAUACCCUGGUAGUCCACGCCGUAAACGAUGGGCACUAGGUGUGGGUCUCUAACCAACGAGAUCU